rnacentral:rRNA from 1 species
CAGUCGCCGCGGUAUACGUAGGUGGCAAGCGUUGUCCGGAAUUAUUGGGCGUAAAGCGCGCGCAGGCGGAUCAGUUAGUCUGUCUUAAAAGUUCGGGGCUUAACCCCGUGAGGGGAUGGAAACUGCUGAUCUAGAGUAUCGGAGAGGAAAGUGGAAUUCCUAGUGUAGCGGUGAAAUGCGUAGAUAUUAGGAAGAACACCAGUGGCGAAGGCGACUUUCUGGACGAAAACUGACGCUGAGGCGCGAAAGCCAGGGGAGCGAACGGGAUUAGAUACCCCAGUAGUCCCUGUCUCUUAUACAC